UUAAGAACUCCCAGUGCUAUUUCUAAGAUGCAAGUUACUGCCAAGAGAGCAAAACUAUGCGACAAUAGAAAGAGUGCUUGGCGACAGAAAUAUUGAAAUAUCUGUUGGUCAGAUCUUUCACCCUUAUCACUGACCAUGCUCCACUAUGGUGGAUGCAGAACAACAAGAAUAUUAAGGUCACCUGUUGGUUUGUUGGUUCUUCUUUUUGCAGCCAUUUAAAUUAUUUGUAAAGCACAGGGGUGGUCUACUACAUGUUAAUGCGGAUGCAUUAUCUAGGGUGCAUGACUUUGUGAGGAUAUGUGGCAGGGUCAGAGAGGCUUUCUUGGUUAGUAACAGGUUAGAGUGCUCUCUAUUCCAAGCAUUAUGGGGUAACUGGUGGAAGUCAGCCCUUUCAGGUGAAUGUAAUUAACCUGCACUAGUGUUUUAAAUUAAAAGGUCAGCCUCUGAAAGCAUCAGUUUAACAGCUGGGAGAAAUGAGGCAGUUAAGCAUAAGACUCUAAAGGAAAAUAUACUGUAAAAAGGUACUGUGUAAAUGCCUGUAUGUUUAAAGUGCUGUGUUUAAACUGUUUAAAACUGGGAACUGGUUAGCUGGCCAGUUGAAUAGCUAGGAACUAUUGUUUAGUAUGUCUCCAAGUUGGAGUAGGAUUUAUUUUCUUUUUCUUUUUGUAAAGCACAACAUUGUAUACUCUGUGGAAAGUGC